GUAGUUGACUCCGUGGCUCAGGACACGCUGGCGGCGUGCUUAACACAUGCAAGUCGAACGGAAAGGCCUCUUCGGAGGUACUCGAGUGGCGAACGGGUGAGUAACACGUGGGUGAUCUGCCCUGCACUCUGGGAUAAGCCUGGGAAACUGGGUCUAAUACCGGAUAGGACCAUGCUUUAGUGUGUGUGGUGGAAAGUUUUUUCGGUGUAGGAUGAGCCCGCGGCCUAUCAGCUUGUUGGUGGGGUAAUGGCCUACCAAGGCGGCGACGGGUAGCCGGACUGAGAGGUUGGUCGGCCACAUUGGGACUGAGAUACGGCCCAGACUCCUACGGGAGGCAGCAGUGGGGAAUAUUGCACAAUGGGCGCAAGCCUGAUGCAGCGACGCCGCGUGGGGGAUGACGGCCUUCGGGUUGUAAACUCCUUUCGCCAGGGACGAAGCGUUUUGUGACGGUACCUGGAGAAGAAGCACAGGCUAACUACGUG
rnacentral:rRNA from 1 species